GAUGAAGAACGCAGCGAAAUGCGAUAAGUAAUGUGAAUUGCAGAAUCCAGUGAAUCAUCGAAUCUUUGAACGCACAUUGCGCCCGCCAGCAUUCUGGCGGGCAUGCCUGUUCGAGCGUCAUUUCAACCCUCGACCUCCCUUUGGGGAAGUCGGCGUUGGGGACCGGCAGCACACCGCCGGCCCUGAAAUGGAGUGGCGGCCCGUCCGCGGCGACCUCUGCGUAGUAAUCCAACUCGCACCGGAACCCCGACGCGCCCACGCCGUAAAACACCCAACUUCUGAACGUUGACCUCGAAUCAGGUAGGCCUACCCGCUGAACUUAAGCAUAUCAAUAAGCGGAGGA
rnacentral:misc_RNA from 1 species